rnacentral:rRNA from 1 species
AUUGAACGCUGGCGGCAUGCCUUACACAUGCAAGUCGAACGGCAGCACGGGAGCAAUCCUGGUGGCGAGUGGCGAACGGGUGAGUAAUAUAUCGGAACGUGCCCAGUCGUGGGGGAUAACGUAGCGAAAGCUACGCUAAUACCGCAUACUAUCUAUGGAUGAAAGCGGGGGAUCGCAAGACCUCGCGCGAUUGGAGCGGCCGAUAUCAGAUUAGGUAGUUGGUGAGGUAAAGGCUCACCAAGCCGACGAUCUGUAGCUGGUCUGAGAGGACGACCAGCCACACUGGGACUGAGACACGGCCCAGACUCCUACGGGAGGCAGCAGUGGGGAAUUUUUGGGACAAUGGGCGCAAGCCUGAUCCAGCAAUGCCGCGUGCAGGAUGAAGGCCUCGGUUGUAACG